GCGACCUCUACCACUUAAAAGGCGAACGACUGACUUCGUAACCACGACGAGAGUAGGGGUGGGGCCAAGCCGCAGCGCGUGCGGUGUGGCCUAGGUAUCGGUCAUCGGUCACGCUACUAUUGGGUAGUGGGUAGGGACGAGGCGGAGGCGCGUGGGGAGGGGCGGCCGGAGGCGGUGCCCUGAAGUGUGCGGAACGAAAAGUGGCGGCGGCGGAUGAGAGGAGGCGGCGGCGGGGAGGCGGACGAUGGAGACGCGCAGCGGCGACCUCCUCGGAGUGGCCAUCCAGGACUACCGCCGUUAGCGCGCUGCGGAGGGGGCGACCCUCGGCGCCGCGACCUGAAGCGCGCCUCGUUGAAGGAGGGCGAUCGAGAUUAACCACCCUACUGAAACCCUGAGGACCUAGGUUGAGAACCAACGGAACGAGUGUUUAUAAGGGACAGUUUUAUAUCGUGAAAACCCUAUAAGCAAUAUAGUCCCGACUGAGACGCGUGAUUCCUCGAACCGCGUCGCAAUGUUCGAACCGGACGACCUGAGAAACCUGAUCCGAGUUAAGACAACAAGUGUGGAAAAGAACGUGUUAAAGAACACGUUUAAGUCAAGAAGGGAGCACUUAAAUAGUGACCCAACCGAUACAAAACAACGUACGGCUGUUGUAAUAGUUCACCUCAGUGUGAUUGUGUCGAACGACCGCCGUUGAGGCGUGAACGAGAACGUUACUGUCAGUAUAGGUUAGAUGACCCGUAAUACAAACAUGGAAACAGAGAACGUUUUAUGUAACCGUGACCUCGUCCUCACAGAAACGGAUGAUUCCUUAAUAAGUCUUCAGACCAAUUGUGAGAAAAUUAGGGGGAAUAAAAUCCGUUCCAACGGGCUCUUUGGAGUUUUCCAUAACGACUUAAACAACUACCUUUAGCGGUCCCGAAAAGUCAAAAUUCACGACAAGAAGAGUCGGAUCAGGGUACCUAUGUUCAUUCAUCUAGUUCUAGAGACGAUAACAGGCAAUUUGGUUUUCGAAAGCGAUAAUAACACUGAUAACCUCACGAAGAUGUAGAACGAGACGACCGUAAGUUACGAUGUUGUGACGUCCAGAACAGUACAGAAUUUGUCUUCCUUCUCAGUCAGAAACGCUCUUUUCUCAUACGUGCUCGACAGUAAAACCACCGGUCAGUCUUUUGUAACGGUCACGACCAACGACACCAACUCGUCGAACCUCCACGAGAACCCCUCAGGCCUGAAGACCAGUAGGGUACACAACGACGCGUGUAAUUAGUCUAGUAAUAGCUAAGAUAGGAUCAUUUAACCACCGCGUUUUCUCUAGUUGCUAGAUGAUUACGUUUUAUCGAAGUCUUAAACUUAAACUAGAUUCACGUUUCUAGAUGGGCUCGCUCCGAACUGUUUAGGUACCACUUUAUCCAAUUAACCUGAACCAUCUGGCGAACCACGUGCUGUUCCGGUCCCAGGAAUACUAGGAUCUUGGUAAAUCAAGCUUCAGAUGUAGUUACACCUCAUCCUAUUGCGGUUGGUAGGUUUGGUACUUGUAGCAGCGCGGGGAAUAUGUACCAAUCUCGACCCCGUAGCACCUCUAACCUUCCGGAAACGAGACUGGGAGGUAACCUACGGGUGUUUAAAGGAUGCGGCUUCUAAAACCCGAGGUGCCAUGAGCGUGAUACGGCUGUUCUCAUUGUACUAAUCGUCUAACUACAUUCACCAGACUUACAAUCGGCGCUUUGUUUGAACCGCUCAGCGAUCGUUCCGAUUGACCUUAUAUCCCUUCUACGUCCAUGUGAUCAAAGAAGCAUGGUCACAUUAUACCGCUUUAUAUGUUCAAACAUAAUGUUCAAUGAGGGAGACAGAGUUUUACAUUUUGAAGAAAACUGUGAUUUUA
rnacentral:rRNA from 1 species